UUGUUUUUGCUUCACUUCUGCGUUCUUGGGUGAGAUUUAGGGAGAACAGGUUGUGCAUGUCGUCGUCCUGUUUGUUUUUCUUCCAUUGAGAGUUUGUUUGUUCCUUGCAUGUGAUUGAUUUGGCGAUUUGGUUUUUCUGAUGAGCUUUAUGUUUUCAUUCGUUCUUAGGAAGGAGAGGGAUGAUGAGGUUUGGAUUUUGUUAGAUCGAAAAGGUGUUGGGGGUGAUUAGGGCGAUCUUCUCUGUUUCUUUCUGUGUUCGUUCUUGGUUGGGCUUUUCGUAUCUAGAGAUUCUUCGGUGUGUGAUUGAUUUGAAACACCAAUCAGCAAGCUUUUCGGAUCAAAAACAAAGAAUCCAAAACAAACCCAGACCAGUGCGUGCGUAAUUGAGCUCAUUUGGUGAAAUCGGAAUAUCUGAUUGAGCAUCCAUUUCAUCAAAUCGGAGGAUCCAAUUGAGCAAUCAGAUAACUCUGAUAUAUUGAGGUUUAGGUAAGCUUCUUAUUUGGUCGAUUGGUCUAACAUUCUGGUUUUGAAUUUUGGGUGCGAUUGAUUGGAUUUUGUAUUUCGGUGCAUGCAAUUUUGGGUAGUGCGUAUGACUGCGGUUUUGUGGGUGAUAGAGAUUUUUUCUGUGCUCUCUCACUUGAAAUCAAGCUCAUAUUGCAAGUUUGCUGGGUUUUCCUUCACGUCUGCUUAUUAUUAUAUAGUUGAAAAGUACAAAAGGAUUAUGUAAAUGGAAGGAAGAAGACACAAAACAGUAUAGCUAGAUAUUCUAACAUUGAUAUUACAUCCCAACUUAGUUAUUUGAAAUUUGGAAGUUAAAUGAUAUGAAGUGAUAUGGCAUUAUUUCUUAAUGUGAUCUUAUGGUUCAUUUCAGUGUUGUCAACUUCUUUAGGAUGUACUUUAUUCUUCAGGGGAACUGAAAACCAUGUAUGUUUGAAUACCCUUUGUCUCAUUGUGAUUUUCAAUCUCUUGAACUCAUGGCUGACACAAUGUUUGGAUUUUGGAUCUGGAAUUGGGAUUUUUGUAGGCUUUGUAUUCAUAGAUGGGGAGAUACCUUUAUUUCUUAGCGUGUUUACAAUUUAACAACUAAACAUCAAGUUUUUUGAAUAGAACUAGAGCACAGAUCAUAAUAGUCAAGCUAAACAUUUUCCUUUGUGUGAUGUUACUUGCCUUUAGUUAAUUUACUGUGAAUGUUUAUAUAUUGCCAUCAUUCAUCUCUUAUUUACAUUAAAUGAAUAACCUUUUAACUGGUUUCAGCGAUUAUUAUGAUUUACUAAACAUGUAUUCCUUUUGCUAUACUAAUUUUUGGUGGAUUGUCCUAUUUGCAAAGAGAGACGGCAGCAGCUCAGCACAUUUUAUACCAAGCUUUAAACAAAAAUUGAAGCUUUAAACAUUUAAAUUCACUAUUUCCUUCCAUUUUUGUUCGCAUGUGAUUGUUUGACAGAGUAAAAGCCUCACCUUUCAACAUAUCUGAUAGCUGUAGAGUUCAUUUUGUAGCUCAUGCAGCAGAUUAAGGAACAUCUAGAGUAACAACUUAACAAGAGCAAGAAAUCUCUGAUUGCACACCCACUUCCCAGACCAGGUCACUAUAGAUUGAGCAUGAGUUACAUUAUUUGACUAUUAAGCAUUGCAAAUUUAAGUUAGUUUUUACAUUUCUAUUUUAAAUGCAGUGAAUGCAUAUUUCUUUGGUGGCUUGGUUGGUUCUGAUGAAACAAAAAGAUUUUUAGGUGAAUAGUGCAGGCAAGGGGAGGAAAAUCAAUUGAUGACAAACAAAGAUUCAAGUGCAGAUGCUAGGCAUAUGAUUGUUGAGGUAUCUGAUGAAAAGAUGUUAUAUCAAAGUUUGGAGACUGAGGUUUGGGAUCGAAGGCAGACUUGGCCCCUUGGAUAAGAAACAGGGGGCUGGAGUUGCAGUCACAAAAUAUAAAGUUUAGUGAGAAUCUUGUUGUUGCUAAAGCAAAGUUUGCAGCCUUAACUACUCCUCAACUGGUAGAGGCUUGAGCUUUCAUUUCAUGGGUCUGUAAUUGUUUUGGAUGAAAAAGGAACACAGCGACGACGAGGCAAGCCCCACCUACCCAGAAACACAGAUCUUCCUGCUGAAAAGAUCUUUAUAGAAUGCAUGCUGUGAUUAAAGAUCCAAACAAUGGGCCAUAGUCCACCUUAGAGGAAAAGCAGCCGAACGAUUGUUUGGACUAACUUGCAAAGAACUCAUGAACAAAUACCCUAUGCAACACGUGAAACACUGCCACG